rnacentral:misc_RNA from 1 species
GAUUAAAGCAAAUGCAGCAUGCGGAUCUUUUUCCAGCUUGAUCAUUUGUGAGGCAUUGGUGAUUUGAUUCAUAAUAUUUUCUUUCAUGGCCUCUUUGCCAUCCUGUGCUAAGGAAUCUGAGUUUACUGAUAUGCAGAUCCGCUUCAUUCCCUGUCGUAGUAAACUGCAUGCAUAUCCUAUGUUGAUGGCAGUUUCCAUCUUAUCUCCUGUCAGAACCCAGAUCUUAAGACCAGCUUGUGCAAGUUUGUCUAUGCAUUGGGGCACCCCAUUCUGUAACUUGUCCUCCACAGCAGUAGCACCAACCAGGAUUAAUUCUCGCUCCAUGAGGUCGGAUACUCG